UCAGACGAUGCGUCAUGCAUAUCAAUAAGCGGAGGAAAAGAAACUAACAAGGAUUCCCCUAGUAACGGCGAGUGAAGCGGGAAGAGCUCAAAUUUGAAAUCUUAAAGGGUUUCCCUUUACGAAUUGUAGUUUAAAGAAGUGUUUUCUGUUGAGGUUUUGGUAAAAGUUCUUUGGAAUAGGACAUCAUAGAGGGUGAGAAUCCCGUAUUUGACCUUUACUUUCAACUUUGUGAUACACUUUCAAAGAGUCGGAUUGUUUGGGAAUGCAGUCCAAAAUGGGUGGUAAAUUUCAUCUAAAGCUAAAUAUUGGCGAGAGACCGAUAGCGAACAAGUACCGUGAGGGAAAGAUGAAAAGAACUUUGAAAAGAGAGUUAAACAGUACGUGAAAUUGUCAAAAGGGAAGCGUUUGACACCAGUGUUGUUUUUCUGAAAAUCAAUUAAAGAACUGUUUAUGCUAAGUUGUUUAGACUUUAUCAGCUAACUGUUUAGUUUUGAGCUUUUCUUUAAUGCACUUUUCAGUUAACAAGUCAACAUCAAUUUCUUUUGCUGUAAAAAAGCUUGAGGAAGGUGGCUUGAGAUUCGUCUUAAGUGUUUAUAGCCUCUUGCCUAUGCAGUCGGAGAGAUUGAGGUCUGCAGCGUAGAUCCUUCGGGGCUAAAUGCAUUUGUGCUAAGUUAUAGCAUUUUAUAGACAACUUGUUGACUAUGAUUUGUCUUGUAGCUUACUCGCUUAUGUUAUUUUACCUACGCUUAGGAUGUUGAAGAUGUAGCACAUCAU
rnacentral:rRNA from 1 species